AAGCUCCGUCGUCGAGAGGGAGACAGCCCAGACCGUCGUCUAAGGUCCCGAAGCGUGUGCUAAGUGGGAAAGGAUGUGGAGUCGCAUAGACAGCCAGGAGGUUGGCUCAGAAGCAGCCAUCCUUGAAAGAGUGCGUAACAGCUCACUGGUCUAGUGGUUCCGCGCCGACAAUGUAGCGGGGCUCAAGCACACCACCGAAGACGCGGCAGCAAUCUUCAUGGUUGCUGGGUAGGAGAGCGUCCUGCGAGGGGCGAAGCGGCGGUGGAAACCGGCCGUGGACUUCGUGGGAGUGAGAAUGCAGACAUGAGUAGCGAGAGACGGGUGAGGAUCCCGUCCGCUGGAUGACCAAGGGUUCCGGGGCCACGUUCGUCGUCCCCGGGUGAGUCGGGUCCUAAGGCGAGGCCGACAGGCGUAGUCGAAUGGAUGAACGGGUGGAUAUUCCCGUACCGACCAUGGACCGGCAAAACCGAGACGGUGAGUACUAACCUCCGCCUCGUGGUGGUUCCUUCCUUCGGGUUGGUAUCGCCGCGUGGUGUUGGGACUGUAGCCGCAGUAGGUCAGCGCAGGGGUGACACGGAAUGGGAGCCGGCCGCGGAGGUGGUUUUCCGUGGUCAAGCACGCAGCCAGUCAUGUAGGCAAAUCCGCAUGGCAUGCAUGGCGAGGUGUGAUGAUGGGAGCCGUUAUGGUUCGAUAUCCGGUUGUCCAGGCCGUCGAGAAAAGCCUCGGCGUGAGGGCCAUGGCCGCCCGUACCCCAAACCGACACUGGUGGUCAGGUAGAGAAUACCAAGGCGAUCGAGCGAAUCCUGGUCAAGGAACUCGGCAAAUCACUCCCGUGCCUUCGGUAUAAGGGAGACCCACUGGGGUGAAGGACCUUGCGUCCGGAGCUUUGGUGGGUGGCACAGACCAGGGGGUAGCGACUGUUUACCAAAAACACAGGUGCAUGCGAAGGCGAAAGCCGCUGUAUAUGCACUGACGCCUGCCCGGUGCCGGAAGGUUAAGAGGAUCCGUCAAUCCCUUCGGGGACGAAGCGGUGAAUUCAAGCCCCGGUAAACGGCGGUGGUAACUAUAACCAUCCUAAGGUAGCGAAAUUCCUUGUCGGGUAAGUUCCGACCUGCACGAAUGGCGUAACGACUUCCCCACUGUCUCGACCAGGAGCUCGGCGAAAUUGCAGUACGAGUAAAGAUGCUCGUUAAGCGCAGAAGGACGAAAAGACCCCGGGACCUUUACUAUACCUUGGUAUUGGCGUUAGGCGCGGAUUGUGUAGCAUAGGCGGGAGGCUUCGAAGCGUGGGCGCCAGCUCAUGUGGAGCCGCAAGGUGAAAUACCGCUCUGUUCUCGUUUGACGUCUAACCUCGACAAGUCAUCCUUGUCAGGGACAGUGCCUGGCGGGUAGUUCAACUGGGGCGGUUGCCUCCCAAAGAGUAACGGAGGCGCUCAAAGGUUAGCUCAGCACGGACGGAAACCGUGCCUCUGAGUGUAAACGCAAAAGCUAGCCUAACUGCGAGGGUGACGGCCCGAGCAGUAACGAAAGUUGGAGUUAGUGAUCCGGCGGUAUGUGAAUGGAAAUGCCGUCGCUCAACGGAUAAAAGCUACCCUGGGGAUAACAGGCUGAUCUCCCCCAAGAGUCCACAUCGACGGGGAGGUUUGGCACCUCGAUGUCGGCUCAUCACAUCCUGGGGCUGUAUUCGGUCCCAAGGGUUCGGCUGUUCGCCGAUUAAAGUGGUACGCGAGCUGGGUUCAGAACGUCGCGAGACAGUUCGGUCCCUAUCUGUCGUGGGCGCAGGAUAUUUGAGGAGCUCUGUCCUUAGUACGAGAGGACCGGGAUGGACGUACCUCUGGUGCACCAGUUGUCAUGCCAAUGGCACGGCUGGGCAGCUAUGUACGGAACGGAUAAACGCUGAAAGCAUCUAAGCGUGAAGCCGACUCCAAGAUUAGAUAUCCCAUCGUAUAACGAGUAAGACCCCUUGAAGACUACGAGGUUGAUAGGCUGCGUGUGUAAGUGCCGUGAGGCAUUCAGCUUGGCAGUACUAAUAGGUCGAGGGCUUGACCAC
rnacentral:rRNA from 1 species